GCCCCUUUGGUAUGGUGGUGGUAGGCGAAAGCCCCGCAACGCUUUUAUGUGCGUAGGACACCUAAACCGAAAGGGCUU
rfam:Bergeyella zoohelcum ATCC 43767 genomic scaffold supercont1.1, whole genome shotgun sequence.